UGGGGGAUAUUGCACAAUGGGCGAAAGCCUGAUGCAGCGACGCCGCGUGGGGGAUGAAGGCUUUCGGGUUGUAAACCUCUUUCGCUAUCGAACAAGGCCCGCUUAGGGUGGGGUGAGGGUAGGUGGAGAAGAAGCGCCGGCUAACUACGUGCCAGCAGCCGCGGUAAUACGUAGGGCGCGAGCGUUGUCCGGAAUUAUUGGGCGUAAAGGGCUUGUAGGCGGCUUGUUGCGCCUGCUGUGAAAACGCGGGGCUUAACUUCGCGCGUGCAGUGGGUACGGGCAGGCUUGAGUGUGGUAAGGGUGACUGGAAUUCCAGGUGUAGCGGUGGAAUGCGCAGAUAUCUGGAGGAACACCGAUGGCGAAGGCAGGUCACUGGGCCAUUACUGACGCUGAGGAGCGAAAGCAUGGGUAGCGAACAGG
rnacentral:rRNA from 1 species